rnacentral:lncRNA from 1 species
AUGACUUUUAUAUUAAAUCACAGUUACACAUAAUCAUUCAUUUACAUUUCAUGAUUUCUUUAUUUUAAAGUCAAGACAUAAUUUAAAAGGAAUAUCACAAUAAAUAAAACAAUAUUACACCAAUUAUCCACUAGACGAAAAAAAAAAAAGCACAGAAAUGAAAGCAAUAAUCAGUACCCUGCCUAGCAUAAGAUAUACACAUCAUCUGUCUAAACACCAUAAUACCCUAGCUGGGUCUAACAAGAUUAAUACUGUAAGUAUACCAUAUGAACUACAGAUAAAAAAUAAAAUCAAUGCAAUUUUUUUCAAAGGCCAUUAACAAUAAACUUACAUGUAUCAGGGGAAAAGUAUUAGAAUCCAUUCCAAUUAAAUUUGAGUCAAAUAUUUCUUCUAAGUUUUAGGCUAUACUUUACUUAGAGUCACAUAUUUCUUCUAAGUUUUAUAAUCCAUACUGCAUCACUUAUAUUGUAUGGUAUCAGAUGCUUGUUAUAAUCUUACAGAGAGGAAACAUAAUUUGCCUUCCUGCCAACUGUCAUUAUUUGCAGGGGAUUUCCACUCUUAAAAGCUCUUAAAUGGAAAUUUUGAAAGAGCAAUUUUGUCCAUAAUUUUAAACAAAACAGUGAAUUUUACAAUGGCUGUAGGCUUUAAAUUGUAUGAACAAGCUAAAAAACAACAUUAAGGAGCAUUUGAAGGCCCCCUUGAAGGUUUUUUAGGACUGUAGGAGCCAUCUUGCACGUAAAAACCCCAUGGGCAUUUUGAAAAGUUGGCAGGUAUGUAUUUGCAUCUUUGAAGAAUACUUAUGACAAUCACAAACACUGAAACAAACUAAUGCAAUUAAGAAAACAGACAUGGACUGAUGCAGCUUUUUAAAUAUCAUAUUUGUGUAAAAAAGUAGGUUUUCCUUAAGAAAAAAAUCCUCUUCUAAGAGGAGAAAAAUCUUGUAUUGCAUUAUUCUCUUUUUGUCGUGUAAAUAUUUAUUGUUUGUAUGAAUUAUUCAGAAUGGCAAACCCAUGUUUGAUAUCAGGUUCAGGACCAGUAACACUGGUCGAGACUAUAAUUUCCAGGGAUUUUUCAGACAAUUCAACCAUUUUGGAAGCCAUGUCUUGAAGAGAAUAUCUUUUCACUGAGCAUAUUUCAGAAUCCCAACUCUAGCAACAAUGUCAUAUUAUCAUAUUACUAUAUGCUUCUCAAAAUAUGAGAAUAAAAACAUAUUUCAUUCCAAAUGUAUUGUUGGAUGAAUGUGAAUGGUGAUUUUUGGUCAAAUUUCAAACAACUCUGAACACAUCACAAAAUACUGGGAAAAAAUUAACAACAAAAUAUCAAUUUUCAUUCCAACUUCAUACUAAAUGGGAAGAAAAGAACAAUUUUGGUCAGAUUUUUGUUAAAACAAUGGACAAUGAAUUUGUUAUUUGAACUUCAUGAACGAUAAUCAAAAUGAGAUCAUUCUAUCACUGAAACAGCUUCUUCUAAGAAGUAUUUGCAUGAAGCUUAGUGAGAAGAUCUUCCUUGAUCUUGUUUUCGCACCUGAAAACAUUAUAUACCAACAAGAUAUAUCUUGUUAAAAUAAACCUGAAGUAGAUUUUUAGCUGAAACUUUCUUUGAAGAAAUCCUGUCAAUGAUCAAUAUGAGGGUAAGAUGUAUUGAGGAAAAGGACCUGCUUCCCAAUGAAUUUACACCAUCUCACUCAAUGACAUAUUUAAGCAAUGAAUAUUUUACUAAGUUAAUGCAAAUAAAAACAAUUCACAUAGUUUCCCAAAUUAUAUUUAAAUAGGAAACUGUGUCAUAAAGAAAAUGAAGUAUUAAGUAGCUUUGAAACAAACACCUACUGCAACAGACUGGCCAUCCAAUUAAAAAAAACAGGCUAUUAUUUAAACUUGGAAUUAUUAUUAAUCAUGGAAUUUUUAUAAAUUUCUUGUGCUUGAAAUUUCUAGUAAAUUCCAUGCUUAUUCUGUACUUCAAUGGUCUGUGCUGCGCACAACACUUUCUUUAACAAAAAAGAUAGUACAUUUUCAAUAGAAUGUACUGUGCC